GGGUUGUGAGGUUAAGCGACUAAGCGUACACGGUGGAUGCCCUGGCAGUCAGAGGCGAUGAAGGGCGUGCUAAUCUGCGAUAAGCGCCGGUAAGGUGAUAUGAACCGUUAUAACCGGCGAUACCCGAAUGGGGAAACCCAGUGUGAUUCGUCACACUAUCAUUAACUGAAUCCAUAGGUUAAUGAGGCGAACCGGGGGAACUGAAACAUCUAAGUACCCCGAGGAAAAGAAAUCAACCGAGAUUCCCCCAGUAGCGGCGAGCGAACGGGGAGGAGCCCAGAGCCUGAAUCAGCAUGUGUGUUAGUGGAAGCGUCUGGAAAGGCGCGCGAU
rnacentral:rRNA from 2 species